rnacentral:rRNA from 1 species
UACGUAGGGUGCGAGCGUUAAUCGGAAUUACUGGGCGUAAAGCGUGCGCAGGCGGUCUGUUAAGACCGAUGUGAAAUCCCCGGGCUUAACCUGGGAACUGCAUUGGUGACUGGCAGGCUUUGAGUGUGGCAGAGGGAGGUAGAAUUCCACGUGUAGCAGUGAAAUGCGCAGAGAUGUGGAGGAAUACCGAUGGCGAAGGCAGCCUCCUGGGCCAACACUGACGCUCAUGCACGAAAGCGUGGGGAGCAAACAGG